GAUGAAGAACGUAGCGAAAUGCGAUAAGUAGUGUGAAUUGCAGAAUUCAGUGAAUCAUCGAAUCUUUGAACGCACAUUGCGCCUUCUAGUAUUCUGGGAGGCAUGCCUGUUUGAGCGUCAUUAAACCUCUCUCAAGUAUGAUUACUUGGAUGUGAAGGAAGAGUACCUUAAACUUAAGGAGUGUUCUCCUUUGAAAUUGAUUAGCAGAUGGUAAUGUUAUUAAAUCCCUGAUGUUGUAAGAAAUAACAGUUGUUUUGUAGACUAUUAUCUAGCUUUAAAUUAUAAUUUUUAUUAUGGUUGACCUCAAAUCAGGUAAGGAUACCCGCUGAACUUAAGCAUAUCAAUAAGCGGAGGA
rnacentral:misc_RNA from 1 species